rnacentral:piRNA from 1 species
UGGGCUAAACGACUGAGCUAU